GAUGAACGCUAGCGGCAGGCCUAAUACAUGCAAGCUGAACGGCAAGAUUUGUAGCAAUACGAGUCCUAGAGUAGCGUAAGGGUGCGUAACACGUAUGCAAUCUGCCCGCAACAGGAGGAUAGCUUAGCGAAAGUUGAGAUAAGACUCCAUAAGAUCACGAGAGGGCAUCUGAUUGUGAUUAAACUACAAGGGGUUGCGGAUGAGCAUGCGUCUGAUUAGUUAGUUGGCGGGGU
rnacentral:rRNA from 1 species